rnacentral:lncRNA from 12 species
GAUGUGGUUUCAUUUGCACUGUUUUCCAGCAUGCUAGCAACCAAUAGCUUGGCCAGAUCUCUAGUCACAUACACCUUAAGUUUUAAUGGUUACCAUAGCAAUGAAAAAAGGCAUUACAAAAUGCACAAGCUGUUAACAUGUUGCAGAAGCCAAAAGAAAGAGCUAAGAAUAAACUUCUGCAAAUUCCUGAUCGCACCACAUUUAAGGAAAACUGCUGUUAAACCAACAUCAUGUCCCAGUCAAAUAGCUCAUUAAUCUGAAGCCGAGCCUGCGUAUCCCUCCCUUGGAGCUCUCCAUCAGCUGGGGCUGGGCCAUCUCCCUGUGAGAAUAUACGUGAGUGUGUCAGAAUGAGCAGGGGUGUGUGUGGAGCUGGCAGGGACAGGGAGACGGAGAAAGAGAAUAAACAGGCUGCAAAUUGAGUCUCAGCUCCUUCAUCAACAAGAAAGAAAACCUUCAUGUUUUCUAACAGAGAUGACAGACAAGAGAAUUUAAAUGAAUCUAAUUUAGAUAAAUCUAAAUUUUAUUCAGUGAGUAAAUCAUUAUAAACAUAGACAGAUAAGAUGAGUGUUCUAUUUGGUUUAGGUUUUUCAGACAGAACCCAGAUAUUUGGGCUGCAAGGAAAUUAAAAAUGCACACCCAUAUAGUCCCCUGCCAGCAAGGAAGUGUUGCUCACUGAGCGGAAAGUGUCUUCUCAAUGAUGUAGUUUCCAGAAUAAAGAAGGAAGAAAAAGAGGGUCCUUGGUUGGGAAUAUGACACAACUAAAGAAGACAAAGGGUACAUAUGACCUCUCACACCCCCAAGAGCCUGCAAUCUGCAUUUCCAAGAGACCACUGCAGAGAUUUCCACAGCACCUCUGCUUCUCUAAUGACAUGGGCACAAGAUUCCACCCUUAUUUCACAUUCAGCCAAUGCAGCUCUGCACAUGGAAAGACGACUGUGCUAAUGCAGCCGACUCUCCACGUGUGGGUGUGGCUGAGAAGAUGAAAGAGUCUAGAGGCCGCAUUUCCUUUCCUUCGUGGACUUGGAAGUUCUUAACCCCUGUUGACAUAAGGCAAUUGAAGAAAAUGCAAGUAAGAAAAUUGUUUUCCUUACAUAAAGCUUUAACAAUUUUGCUGAAAGGAAUAAUGUGAAGUAGUUACAA